UUAUAUGCAGAACGCUCAGGCUGCAGGCUGUAGAGGUGAGGAGGAUAACUGGCUACCAACAGGAACCAUUUCAGGACCUUUAAACUUUAAAGGUUUGAUUUUGAAUAAUGGGAGAUUCCCUCAGUCAGAACUUCUCCAGCUACAGUGAUGCAUCUAACAGAACCAGUAACGGUUCUGAUGAGAACCAAGUCUUGUAUGUGGGAAAUUGUAUCUCUAUUGUCAUUGGAUUUCCUUUGACUCUGGUGGCCAUGUUUGCUGUUUUAUCAAAGGUGAAAGAAGAUAAUGUUGCUCCAGUUUACAUCUUCAACCUUCUGCUUUCUGAUGUCGUCCAGUACUGCAGCAGAGUUCCUAUAAUAUCACGUACAGCUAAUGAUGCCUCUCGUUGUGCCCUUGAUUUUGGCAUUACAGCCAGCAUUGGAUUCAUGAUGUGUGUCUCCCU